UGUGAUUGAGGAAAUGAAAAAGUUUAU
rnacentral:piRNA from 1 species